ACUAGCAGUAAGAGUUUGAUCCUGGCUCAGGACGAACGCUGGCGGCACGCCUAACACAUGCAAGUCGAACGGCCCCUUCGGGGGCAGUGGCGGACGGGUGAGUAACGCGUGGGAACCUGCCCCUUGGUUCGGGACAACCCGGGGAAACCCGAGCUAAUACCGAAUGCGCUCCCAGGCUUUGGUCUGGGAGGAAAGAUUUAUCGCCGAGGGAUGGGCCCGCGUCGGAUUAGGUAGUUGGUGAGGUAACGGCUCACCAAGCCUACGAUCCGUAGCUGGUCUGAGAGGAUGAUCAGCCACACUGGGACUGAGACACGGCCCAGACUCCUACGGGAGGCAGCAGUGGGGAAUAUUGGACAAUGGGCGAAAGCCUGAUCCAGCAAUGCCGCGUGAGUGAUGAAGGCCUUCGGGUUGUAAAGCUCUUUUACCCGGGAUGAUAAUGACAGUACCGGGAGAAUAAGCUCCGGCUAACUCCGUGCCAGCCGCCGCGGUAAUAC
rnacentral:rRNA from 1 species